rnacentral:pre_miRNA from 1 species
UCACCUCCGCAGGCUGCCACCCCAGGCUGGGCUGGGCGAGUGUCUCUUUGAAAGGCUCACCCUCAAGCACGACCAGGAGC